GAGCGGCUUGUUUCACGGAGCUGCGGCGGGACAGCGCAGAGACACCGUCAAACACGCCGUGACGAGAGACAAGUGUCGCCCGGAGUCACAACAACACGAUGAUCACGCAGCUGUUUUACAGGCACUGAUACAGUGCGGCGCGCGAGUCACGGUGCCGUGAUGAAGCGAUUCUGUGGGAAUUCAGCACGACUUCAUGUAAUGUGCAUCACUUACAGUCACUGCCAGCUUACUCUGAUGAUCAAUAGACCCAACAACUGACAGAGCCGUCAGGAGCAACAUGCUUGCCCAAGGAC